UUAAAUUUCACAAAAAAAAAAUAAAAAUUAUUAGAUAAAAUCUUGGACAAUGGCCUUUGUUAACUUCAAUCUUUGUUGUAUUUUGUUUGCUGCAAUGAUUUUGCUGUCAGGAAUAUCAAAUGGUGAGAAUAAUUUGUCUCAAGAUGUAUCUCUCAAGAUGUUUGGGUUAAAAUGCCACGAAGGUAAUUGCCCAUCCAAUGAGCAAUGCAAUCAAGACUGUCUUAAAAUAGGCUAUAAGAAAGGUGGUAAAUGUUAUGGAAUGAUUCCUCCUAACCGCCUUUGUUGUUGUAAUGAAAAAUGAGAUAUUAUACCCUUAAAACUCAAUAUAAAUAAAAUGCAUGCCUUGAGUAUGUUUUGAAUAUA